rnacentral:rRNA from 1 species
GUUUGAUCCUGGCUCGGACAACGCUGGCGGCGUGCCUAAGACAUGCAAGUCGAACGGAGGACUUCGGUCCUUAGUGGCGGACGGGUGAGGAGCGCGUGGAGAACCUGCCCCGGGGUGGGGGAUAACAGUCGGAAACGAUUGCUAAGACCGCAUACGACCAUUCGUUGCAGGAUGAAUGGGGAAAGCAGCGAUGUGCCCUGGGAGGGCUCCGCGUCGGAUUAGCUAGUUGGUUGGGUAACGGCCUACCAAGGCUGCGAUCCGUAGCUGGUCUGAGAGGACGGCCAGCCACACUGGGACUGAGACACGGCCCAGACUCCUACGGGAGGCAGCAGUUAGGGAAUUUUGUCAAUGGGCGAAAGCCUGAACGAGUGACGCCGCGUGCGGGAUGACGCCUUUCGGGGUGUAAACCGCUUUUCCCAAGGACGAGGAUGGACGGUACUUGGGGAAUAAGUCUCGGCUAACUACGUGCCAGCAGCCGCGGUAAUACGUAGGAGGCGAGCGUUGUCCGGAAUUACUGGGCGUAAAGCGCGCGUAGGCGGUCUUUUGCGUAGGCGGUGAAAGCCCCCGGCUCACCCGGGGGAGGUCCGUCUAAACGGGGAGACUCGAGGGCGGUAGGGGCUGGCGGAACGCCCGGAGUAGCGGUGAAAUGCGUUGAGAUCGGGCAGAACACCAGUGGCGAAGGCGGCCGGCUGGGCCGUCCCUGACGCUGAGGCGCGAAAGCCAGGGGAGCGAACGGAAUUAGAUACUCCGGUAGUCCUGGCCCUAAACGAUGGCAACUAGGUGUGGGGGGUAUCGACCCCUUCCGUGCCGUAGCACACGCGAUAAGUUGCCCGCCUGGGGAGUACGGCCCGCAGGCUAAAACUCAAAGGAAUU